rnacentral:piRNA from 1 species
UAGGAAGACCCAGACUCACUGGACAGAUGG